rnacentral:rRNA from 1 species
GAGUUUGAUCUUGGCUCAGAACGAACGCUGGCGGCAUGCCUAACACAUGCAAGUCGAACGCUCGUAGCAAUACGAGAGUGGCGGACGGGUGAGUAACGCGUGGGAACCUGCCCAAGGGUUCGGAAUAACCGCGGGAAACUGCGGCUAAUACCGGAUGAUAUCUAUGGAUCAAAGGAGCAAUCCGCCCAUGGAGGGGCCCGCGUCCGAUUAGCUAGUUGGUGGGGUAAAGGCCUACCAAGGCGAUGAUCGGUAGCUGGUCUGAGAGGAUGAUCAGCCACACUGGGACUGAGACACGGCCCAGACUCCUACGGGAGGCAGCAGUGGGGAAUAUUGGACAAUGGGGGAAACCCUGAUCCAGCAAUGCCGCGUGGGUGAUGAAGGCCUU